AUGUGUGCAGUGUCACACUUACACUCCCAUCAGAAUCACUGGACUGGGGAGAGGAUCAUUUUCAGAGGAAAUCUGGGGAACAAAGGGUGGUCCUGCAGACCCCACACAUGCCUCCUACAUGUGAUCAUUCCAGGGGUGGCCAGUGAGGGCUCCCAUGUAGAAGUAUUUACAAGGGUAAAAGCCUGCUCAGAGGCCUUGGGGCUCCACCUGCCAGCCUCUUCCUUUGGAGCAAAACACUGUGGCUGCCAGGACCUGCGUCUCAGAAAACCCCAGGAAACUUCAAAGGGGCCUGUCCACCUCACUGGCUUUGAUCUCAGAAGGGGACUUGCUAAGAAGCAUGAUCAAAAGGAAAAUGGACGGUUCCAGAAAUGAGCAACAAAACAUGCUCCUGUCUUGCUCACCUGGACGUCGUAAGGACGAGAAGUGGAGGCUGUCAUGGAGCCAGGCUGGGGUCUUUGGAUACAAGAAUACUAUGAGGAUGGUGCUGACCCUAGGGCAUCAGGACCACAGGUGCCGUGUGUCUUUGCAAGCUGCUGCCCCUCUCUGGGCCCCAGUUUGAGCUUUUAUAAUAAUAACUGCCCUCACUCUCUCCUACUGCACAGUCACAUCACAUGCCAUGGCAUUCUGGGCCAGAUGGUCUUGGCAGAUCCUUUCCAGAUCAAUAUUUUAUGGAUCUAAGUUCCAGGAGCAAGAUGAUCAGUCAGAUGAGACAGAAUUCACACUUUAAAAUCAUUUCUAAAAGCCAGCUGUCCAGAUUCCAGAUUCUGGUAUGCGAGCAAAGAAAAGGAUGCUUCUUGAACAGGGAAAAAAAACAGGCAUGAACCCCAGUGAGGAUGGCAGGUGGGUUGCUGGGUCUUGAGUGACCUCAGCAGGCUUUCCUGGUGGCUUAGACGGUAAAGAAUCUGCCUGCAGUAUGGGAGACUUGGGUUUGAUCCGUGGGUUGGGAAGAUUCCCCUGGAGGAGAGCAUGGCUACCCACUCCAGUAUUCUUGCCUGGACUCCAUGGACAGAGGAACCUGGUGGGCUAUGGUCUAUGAGCUCGCAAAGUGUCAGACACGACUGAGUGACUUUCACUUUCACUUUGGCGAGUGGUUACCAGGUGGGAAGAGAGAAGGGGCAGCAAACACAGUUCCUUCCUUUAAGGCUCCUGACCUUGAGGACUGAGGGAGGGGCGAAGACAUUCGUGGGGAAUGCAGGUUGGGGGGCAGCACUGAGAACGGCACCCCUGGGGCAGUGGAAACGCCAAGGGCCGGGGAGCCGGGAGAGACUGGGGUGAGGGCAUGGGAUGAGGCUGUGACUGAUGGUGGGGGUGGCCUUGUCGGGGAGCACAGACCCUCUUCUGCCGCCUGAGGUGAGGAGGGUAAUGCAGGCGCAGCUGGGCCUUGAUUGUCUCGGCAAGUGGGAAUUGAGUUGUGCGUGAGAAGGGGAGGCAUGGUGGGUUUCUCAGCACAGCUGAGGGCCUGGCCCUGGAGGGACAGCGGGUCUGCCGGUGCCAGGACAUGCAGGGCAUGGAGACGGGGUGAGGAAGCAGACCUGCCACUUACGGGGCCUGGGCCUGGGAGGGGCUGGCGUGCCCCUGGCAGGUGGAGACUGGCCGCUGGGAGUUGGGGUCGAGGACCACACAGGCCCUCUGAAGCUGCGCAUGCUCCUUCCAGGUGCUCCCCAAACAUGCCUCUGGGGGUCUGCCUGACGUCCAGGGGCUAAGACCUCGCCUUCCUAUGCAGGGGGUAUGGGUUCCACUCCCGGUCGGGGAGCUGAGAUCCCACAUGCCUGGGGGCCAGAAAAUGAGAACAUUAACAACAGUGGUAAUAUUGUAGCAAAUUCAAUUAAGACCUUAAAAAAACAAAACAAAGCCCCCAUACUUCAGUUUCCAAGUCAUCCUCACAGUGGGAAUGCUGCAGUCUUCCCACAACAGGGCGGCUCACUCUCCAGGAGGUGCCAGAGUUGGAAGCAACCUCCUCACUCCUUCUAGAGGGUACAUGACUGCCCCGGGCCCCUCUUUCAGAAUGUGCUGUUAAUCACUCUGGACUUAGGAGUCUGAAUUCAGGGGAACAUUUACUAGCGUGUGGGAGAAACACAGGUUGGAAUAAAAGGAGAAAUUAGAUUUCCUUUGCA
rnacentral:lncRNA from 1 species